rnacentral:rRNA from 1 species
UACGGGGGGAGCAAGCGUUGUUCGGAUUUACUGGGCGUAAAGGGCGCGUAGGCGGUCACGACAAGUCAGUUGUGAAAUCUCCGGGCUUAACUCGGAACGGUCAACUGAUACUUUCGGACUAGAGUGCAGAAGGGGCAACUGGAAUUCUCGGUGUAGCGGUGAAAUGCGUAGAUAUCGAGAGGAACACCUGCGGCGAAGGCGGGUUGCUGGGCUGACACUGACGCUGAGGCGCGAAAGCUAGGGGAGCGAACAGG